CACGAGCGUUGAAAAGCUCGGGGCUGACUUGUGGGUAGCGGUGAAAUUCCAAUCGAGCCCGGAGAGAGCUGGUUCUCCCCGAAAUAGCUUGAGGGCUAGCCUCAAGGUGAGAGAGACGGAGGUAGAGCACUGAAUGUCCAAGGGGGUAUUGCACCUACCGAAGACUAUCAAACUCCGAAUGCCGUCAUCCUCUACUUGGGAGUCAGACGGUGGGUGAUAAGAUUCAUAGUCGACAUGGGAACAGCCCAGAGCUUCAGCUAAGGUCCCUACAAGAAAGUGAAGUGGUAAAGGAUGUGGGAUUGAACAGACAACCAGGAUGUUGGCUAAGAAGAAGCCACUCAUUCAAAGAGUGCGUCAUAGCUCACUGGUCGAGUGAUCCUGCGACGAAGAUUUCCGGGGCUAAACCUUACUACCGGCGCACCGGGC
rnacentral:rRNA from 1 species